AGUGAACGCUGGCGGUAGGCCUAACACAUGCAAGUCGAACGGCAGCACAGUAAGAGCUUGCUCUUACGGGUGGCGAGUGGCGGACGGGUGAGGAAUACAUCGGAAUCUACUUUUUCGUGGGGGAUAACGUAGGGAAACUUACGCUAAUACCGCAUACGACCUACGGGUGAAAGCAGGGGAUCUUCGGACCUUGCGCGAUUGAAUGAGCCGAUGUCGGAUUAGCUAGUUGGCGGGGUAAAGGCCCACCAAGGCGACGAUCCGUAGCUGGUCUGAGAGGAUGAUCAGCCACACUGGAACUGAGAAACGGUCCAGACUCCUACGGGAGGCAGCAGUGGGGAAUAUUGGACAAUGGGCGCAAGUCUGAUCCAGCCAUACCGCGUGGGUGAAGAAGGCCUUCGGGUUGUAAAGCCCUUUUGUUGGGAAAGAAAAGCAGCAGGUUAAUACCCCGCUGUUCUGACGGUACCCAAAGAAUAAGCACCGGCUAACUUCGUG
rnacentral:rRNA from 1 species